AGAUGUGAGGUGAGCUGGCUGAUCUGGCUGGCUGGGGGGGAGGAGGGGGUCCCCAUCCUCCCUCACCACUCCAUGUGCACCUGUCCUGAAGCUGUGUGCUCAAAGAGGAUGACCUUCCCCCAAUAGAGGAGGGCUGGUCUUUGUUCAAGGGUAUAUGAGUAGCUGCACUUACAGAUGCUAGCCCCAUACUACUAUACCCAGCAAAAUUU
rnacentral:snRNA from 1 species